UACGGAGGGUGCAAGCGUUAAUCGGAAUUACUGGGCGUAAAGCGCACGCAGGCGGUUUGUUAAGUCAGAUGUGAAAUCCCCGAGCUUAACUUGGGAACUGCAUUUGAAACUGGCAAGCUAGAGUCUUGUAGAGGGGGGUAGAAUUCCAGGUGUAGCGGUGAAAUGCGUAGAUAUCAGGAGGAAUACCGGUGGCGAAAGCGACUCUCUGGACGGCAACUGACGCUGAGGCACGAAAGCGUGGGGAGCAAACAGG
rnacentral:rRNA from 1 species